GACGAACGCUGGCGGCGUGCCUAAAACCUGCCAGUCGAACGCUGAAACCAAACUCGCUUUUGUUACUCGUGGAACUCCGAUGAGCUACACGUUGCUAACCUACCCUGGCUUUGGGAUUUGCAUGGGAAACGGUAUUUAAAACCAGAUCCCGAAAGUCUCGGGGGUGGGUGCAGCUGGAAAGCGCGGGGCAAUUGCAAUCGAUCCCA
rnacentral:rRNA from 1 species